AGCGAACGCUGGCGGCGUGCCUAACACAUGCAAGUCGAACGUGAAAAGGGAGACCUGAGUAAAGUGGCGUACGGGUGAGUAACGCGUAGGUAAUCUACCCCAGAAUCUGGAAUAACCUGCCGAAAGGCGGGCUAAUACUGGAUAGAGCGAGGGAACUCGUAAGAGAGUUUUUCGGGAAAGGGAGCCCGCAAGGGCCUUCGUUCUGGGAUGAGCCUGCGUCUCAUUAGCUAGUUGGUAAGGUAACGGCUUACCAAGGCGAUGAUGAGUAGCUGGUCUGAGAGGAUGAUCAGCCACACUGGAACUGAAACACGGUCCAGACUCCUACGGGAGGCAGCAGUGGGGAAUCUUGCGCAAGGGACGAAAGUCUGACGCAGCCACGCCGCGUGAGUGAAGAAGGCCUUCGGGUUGUAAAGCUCUGUCGGAUGGGACGAACAUCUUCAUAGUGAAUAGCUAUGAGGACUGACGGUACCAUCAAAGGAAGCACCGGCUAACUCCGUG
rnacentral:rRNA from 1 species